GGCUGGAUGGCAGAGUGGUUAUGCAGCGGACUGCAAAUCCGUCUACGUCGGUUCGAUUCCGUCUCCAGCCUCCA
rnacentral:tRNA from 1 species